UACAGAGGUCUCAAGCGUUGUUCGGAAUUACUGGGCGUAAAGGGUGCGCAGGCCGCGCGGGCAGUCAAAUGUGUAAUUCAGGGGCUCAACCCCUGGACUGCGCUUGAUACUUCCGCGCUCGAACCUUGGAGAGGAGUCUGGAAUUCUCGGUGUAGCAGUGAAAUGCGUGGAUAUCGAGAAGAACACUAAGGGCGAAGGCAAGACUCUAGACAAGUGUUGACGCUCAUGCACGAAGGCUAGGGUAGCGAACGGG
rnacentral:rRNA from 1 species